CCUACGGGUGGCAGCAGUGGGGAAUAUUGCACAAUGGGCGAAAGCCUGACGCAGCGACGCCGCGUGAGGGAUGAAGGUCUUCGGAUCGUAAACCUCUGUCAGCAGGGAAGAACGGUCACUGUGCUAUUCAGCAGUGAAUUGACGGUACCUGCAAAGGAAGCACCGGCUAACUCCGUGCCAGCAGCCGCGGUAAUACGGAGGGUGCGAGCUUUAAUCGGAAUUACUGGGCGUAAAGCGCUCGUAGGCGGUAUGUGAAGUCAAGGGUGAAAUCCCCGGGCUCAACGUGGGAACUGCCUUUGAUACUGGGAGACUGGAGUGUGUGAGAGGGUAGUGGAAUUCCAGGUGUAGGAGUGAAAUGCGUAGAGAUCUGGAGGAACAUCAGUGGCGAAGGCGACUAUCUGGCACAUAACUGACGCUGAGGAGCGAAAGCGUGGGGAGCAAACAGGAUUAGAUACCCGGGUAGUC
rnacentral:rRNA from 1 species